AACUUUUAACAACGCAUCUUUUGGAUUUCGCAUCGAUAAAGAACGCAGCGAAUUGAGAUACGUAAUAUGACAUUGAAUUUUUGAACGCACAUUGCACCUUAAGUUUUUUUCUCAAGGCAUGCAUGGAUGGUCGGUA
rnacentral:rRNA from 1 species